rnacentral:lncRNA from 10 species
UAAGGGUCUAUUUAGUGUCAUGCCUCUUUCACCGCCACCACCGAAGAUGAAAGCAACAAUUAGCUAAAUACCACGUGUUCUCAUCCAUAAGUGGGAACUUAUAGAUGAGAGUUCUGCAUGGGCAGAACGAGGGGGACCAGAGACGCGGGAGCCUACUUGAGGGAGGAAGGGUGGAAGGAGAGACAGCUUCAGGAAAAAACAAACAAACAAAAAAACAUGAAAACUGUUGAGUACUGCGCUGAGUAUCCGGCUGAUGAAUUCAUCUGCACACUGAACACCCCCGUCAGAAGUUUACCUAUGUAACAAUCUUGCACAUGUAUGUUUGAACAAGAAAUGAAAGUUAGGGGAGAAAGAGAGAGAAGGGAGGGAGAGAGGGAAAGAGAGAGAGAAGUGAAACGAAACACCACCUCCUGGACCUGAGUCAGGGGGUUUCCGGCCUUUUGGGGGAACAUUCAGCGACAAUGCAGUAUUUGGGACUCUUCUUUUUUUUUUCUUCUUCUUUUCUUUUUUUUUGACUGAGUUUCUCUUGCUCUGUCACCCAGGCUGUGGUGCAGUGGCACUCUCUCGGCUCACUGAAACCUCUGCUUCCCAGGUUCCGAUGAUUCUUCUUCUGUAGCUGGGAUUACAGGUGCGCACCAUGACAGCCGGCUAAUUUUU